GCUGGUCACAUUCCUUGUCUGAGCUCCCUUGCCUAGUGCUGCGCACCCACCCCUAGGGGACAUCGAGACUGCAAGGCCACCUGGACCUGGCUUUGGCUCCUCCUCUAACUAUGUAGUAUCAUGGGUCCUUCAUUUCCUUCACAGGCUGGCCUCGAACUCGCGGUAAUCUUACUGCUUAGACGUGAGACACAAUACUCUGUCAGGCUUGGGUUUUAUGUGGAAAAAAGAGAUGGAAAGACCUCUAGUACUGGAUUCCUGACCAUCGAAGUGAAUACACUCUGGGGGUUGUUCUUGUCACAGGAGAGAAGAAAAAGAAACUGCACACUGACUUGCCUGGAGGCUGCCAUGAGUUGGAUUCCCACUGACACGUGUCUCUGUGUUCUUCUCCUGCAUGGUCUUCAGUGUUUGCUGUUGUUUAGGAUCUUGAGUGUAGACACUGGGCAGAGAGGAAAUCUCAGUGUACAUUAGAUGAGCAUUUUCUUCAUUACAGUAAUUGUGGAGAAUGUAAUAUGUACAUUUUAGCUGUUUUAACUGCUUUGAUUAUGGUCCUUUUUUGGCUUAUUUAUUGAUUACAAUAUUAUUUGCUUUGUGUACUUUUCUAUUUUAACAUUUUGGUAAAAUAUGGGUAUUUGUGCUAUGUACUAAGGAAGGUUGCUAAUAAAUUUAUCCAUU